rnacentral:rRNA from 1 species
UACGAAGGGGGCUAGCGUUGCUCGGAUUGACUGGGCGUAAAGGGCGCGUAGGCGGUUCGUCCGGUCAGACGUGAAAUUCCUGGGCUCAACCUGGGAAUGGCAUUUGGGACUGCAAGGCUGGAGUGCGGCAGAGGAGACUGGAAUUCCUGGUGUAGCAGUGAAAUGCGUAGAUAUCAGGAGGAACACCGAUGGCGAAGGCAGGUCUCUGGGCUGACACUGACGCUCAUGCACGAAAGCGUGGGGAGCAAACAGG